rnacentral:rRNA from 1 species
AACGAACGCUGGCGGCGUGGAUAAGACAUGCAAGUCGAGCGAAAUGUCAUGGGUAGCAAUAUUCGUGGCGUUUAGCGGCGCAAGGGUGCGUAAUACGUGGGCAAUCUGCCCUAAAGCCUGGAAUAACUCCGAGAAAUCGGAGCUAAUAUCGGAUGUGGUUCUUAAGAGGCAUUCUUUUGGGAACUAAAGCUGGGGACCGCAAGGCCUGGCGCUUUUGGAUGAACCCGCGGCCUAUCAGCUAGUUGGUGAGGUAACGGCUCACCAAGGCUAAGACGGGUAGCUGGUCUGAGAGGACGACCAGCCACACUGGAACUGAGACACGGUCCAGACACCUACGGGUGGCAGCAGUCGAG